GAGAAAACUUAAGAGCAAAACAUCAGACGAAGAGAACAAAAAGGCUGGUAAUUUUAGGUCGAAAGCAAGUGUCAACCUCAAUGACUUGCUCAGUUGCUGUAAUUGCACAUUUCACACGUGUUGCAUAUCUGCAAUCAGGGCACUCAUAUACCCAAUAUGGGGGGUGCAUUUUCGGAUCACAAAUAUGACAAGAAUAGCCAAA
rnacentral:lncRNA from 1 species